CUUGACCGACCCGAGCCACAGCGGAUCGCCGUUCGCGCGUUCCUGUCCGUACGUGGCCAUCAGGGCCUGCGCCUC
rnacentral:antisense_RNA from 1 species